UGGGGAAUUUUGGACAAUGGACGCAAGUCUGAUCCAGCCAUGCCGCGUGCGGGAAGAAGGCCUUCGGGUUGUAAACCGCUUUUGUCAGGGAAGAAACGAGUUUCUCUAAUACAGAGACUUAAUGACGGUACCUGAAGAAUAAGCACCGGCUAACUACGUGCCAGCAGCCGCGGUAAUACGAAGGGUGCAAGCGUUACUCGGAAUUACUGGGCGUAAAGCGUGCGUAGGUGGUUGUUUAAGUCUGUCGUGAAAGCCCUGGGCUCAACCUGGGAAUUGCGAUGGAAACUGGGCGACUAGAGUGUGGCAGAGGAUAGUGGAAUUCCGCGUGUAGUAGUGAAAUGCGUAGAUAUGCGGAGGAACACCGAUGGCGAAGGCAAUCCCCUGGGCCUGCACUGACGCUCAUGCACGAAAGCGUGGGGAGCAAACA
rnacentral:rRNA from 1 species